CACGUAGGGGGCAAGCGUUGUUCGGAAUUACUGGGCGUAAAGGGCAUGUAGGCGGUUUUGUAAGCCUGGCGUGAAAGGCUGCAGCUCAACUGUAGCACUGCGCUGGGAACUGUGAGACUUGAGUCACGGAGAGGGAGCCAGAAUUCCAGGUGUAGGGGUGAAAUCUGUAGAUAUCUGGAAGAAUACCAAUGGCGAAGGCAGGCUUCUGGCCGAUGACUGACGCUGAGGUGCGAAAGCGUGGGUAGCAAACAGGAUUAGAUACCCUGGUAGUCCACGCGGUAAACGAUGCACACUAGGGGCCGGGGCGGACGCUGCGGUGCCGGAGCCAACGUGGUAAGUAUCCCGCCUGGGGAGUACGGCCGCAAGGUUGAA
rnacentral:rRNA from 1 species